GACGAACGCUGGCGGCGUGCCUAAUACAUGCAAGUUGAGCGAUGAAGAUUGGUGCUUGCACCAAUUUGAAGAGCAGCGAACGGGUGAGUAACGCGUGGGGAAUCUGCCUUUGAGCGGGGGACAACAUUUGGAAACGAAUGCUAAUACCGCAUAACAACUUUAAACAUAAGUUUUAAGUUUGAAAGAUGCAAUUGCAUCACUCAAAGAUGAUCCCGCGUUGUAUUAGCUAGUUGGUGAGGUAAAGGCUCACCAAGGCGAUGAUACAUAGCCGACCUGAGAGGGUGAUCGGCCACAUUGGGACUGGGACACGGCCCAAACUCCUACGGGAGGCAGCAGUAGGGAAUCUUCGGCGAUGGACGAAAGUCUGGCCGAGCAACGCCGCGUGAGUGAAGAAGGUUUUCGGAUCGUAAAACUCUGUUGGUAGAGAAGAACGUUGGUGAGAGUGGAAAGCUCAUCAAGUGACGGUAACUACCCAGAAAGGGACGGCUAACUACGUG
rnacentral:rRNA from 1 species